rnacentral:lncRNA from 1 species
AUUUGAAAAAGUGGUUUGAUUCAUCACGAAGGUCUGGAAAACCCCGAGAUGGACGGAGGCUCCACCUCUCUAUGGGCUCUCGCUUGGAGCUUCCCCUUGAGGAUCCAUGGGGGAUGGGGGCCGGCAUCUCCAGGGCCCACGCUGAGGCCAUGGCUCGAUGGAGGUGGCUUCUUAGUGGGGCUGAGGCCCCCGGGGUGCAUUGCUCUGAGAAAUGCCGGGCAUCAGCAAACCCGGUCCCUCCUGGCUGGCCAGAGCAAAAGGCUUCUCUUUUUCUCCUUUAACCAGAGAAGAAGGUUCCAUUCCAUGUGGCGCUGUGGCUCUUGGUGGCUGUUACAAAGCCAUUUCCUAUCUUCUGAAGUCUAAGUAAGGAAGAGCAGGGGUUUAAGAAGACCUGAGUCUACAGCCAAGCUUGUCCCGGUUUGCUGGGUGGUGGAGGCCCAUGUGGGCUGUGCUUCUGGCAUGUUCUCCCAAGCCACAGUGGGAACAGGACCUGGCCGUGGGAGUUGGGAGCCAUGGAGGACAUGUUCCACUGGUCUAGAAGCCGAAUCGAGUGCUGUGACAUUGUAUCCUGACCCACAGCAAAAGGAGUUGGCUCAAAUAAGAAUAUUGAUACCGUCUCCUAAAUCUUCCCAUUUCAAUAGCUUAAGUUGGGCUGGUUGGGGUUGGAUUGGUCAGUUCCUGAUGCAGAGCAAAUGACAGACCUUUCAAGACUGUUUUCUGAUUCUGCCAAGUGACCGUAAGAGAGGGCAGAGGAAACAGGACCUUUUGGAGGGUGGACGGCUGAUUCCUCGGAACCUACAAACUAAAGAAACAGAAGCUGCCUCAGAACCCAGACUCCAGGCCCUGCAGGGGUAAGGGCUCUACUUUUCCUGCUGUGCAGCUUCCUGAAAGCUGUCGGAUGCAGGGAGACUCCAAAAUCCCCAUCGCGCUGGAGUCCAGCGCUGUAGCGGGAAGCUCUCAUGGACCUACCAAGACACUUCUUUUUAACCUCUGUGAACCCUGACACUCAUUUCUCAGUGUCUUCUAUUAGAAUCUUUUUGCUUCAUUAGAGUAAGUCAUG